rnacentral:rRNA from 1 species
GGAGGGUGCAAGCGUUAUCCGGAUUCACUGGGUUUAAAGGGUGCGUAGGUGGGCAGGUAAGUCAGUGGUGAAAUCUCCGGGCUUAACCCGGAAACUGCCAUUGAUACUAUCUGUCUUGAAUACCCUGGAGGUGAGCGGAAUAUGUCAUGUAGCGGUGAAAUGCUUAGAUAUGACAUAGAACACCCAUUGCGAAGGCAGCUCACUACGGGAAUAUUGACACUGAGGCACGAAAGCGUGGGGAUCAAACAGGAUUAGAUACCCUGGUAGUCCACGCCCUAAACGAUGGAUACUCGACAUCAGCGAUAAACUGUUGGUGUCUGAGCGAAAGCAUUAAGUAUCCCACCUGGGAAGUACGACCGCAAGGUUG